rnacentral:rRNA from 1 species
AGCCUACGGGACGCAGCAGUGGGGAAUAUUGCACAAUGGGGGAAACCCUGAUGCAGCGACGCCGCGUGAAGGAAGAAGUAUUUCGGUAUGUAAACUUCUAUCAGCAGGGAAGAAAAUGACGGUACCUGACUAAGAAGCCCCGGCUAACUACGUGCCAGCAGCCGCGGUAAUACGUAGGGGGCAAGCGUUAUCCGGAUUUACUGGGUGUAAAGGGGGCGUAGACGGCAGAGCAAGUCUGAAGUGAAAGCCCGCGGCCCAACUGCGGGACUGCUUUGGAAACUGCCCGGCUAGAGUGCUGGAGAGGG